rnacentral:lncRNA from 10 species
AUAAGGGGUUUCACCUUGUUGCCCAAGCUGGUCUUGAAGUUCUGGGCUCAAGCGAUCUGCCUGCAUUAGCCUCCUAAAGUUCUGGGAUUACCAACAUGAGCUACCAUGCCUGGGUCAAAGCCAUUCUCUGAGCUGAAGAAAAACUACAAAAGAUAGAAACUCAGAUGUGCAGGAAAGAAUAUAGACACCAAAAAAGGAGUGCAAUUUUGACCAAUUACUUUUUACUGGAAGAACUUCAAGAAUAGCUAUGAAGCAUAUGAAGAGGUCUUAUUCCGAGUGAUCCUGAUGCUAGUCAAGGAAGGGAAUGACUGGUUAGAAUCAAUGCCCACACCUGAGAAUUGUGCUUGAGAUAGAUUCUCCUGAAGACACAGGGCUUCACAGGAAGGAGAGAUAAUUAUUGGAUGGAAAACAGAACUGAGAAGAGAAAUCACUUGUGUCCCAGCACCAUUUGUUGAAAAGGAUAUUCUUUCCCUGUUGAAAUAAUGUCUUGGCACCCAAACUGAAAAUGAAUUCACCUCAGAUAUAUUUUGGCAGCUGAAUGUGUGUGCAUGUAGAAUGUAAGAAGGGAAGAAGGAACUGAAUAUUAUGGAUUUGAAACUUCUUGACAAAACACAGCUGCUCAUGUUGGAGGACAUUUUAUUGAAUACACUAAUUCCCACAGACUGCAUCUGAUACUCAAUAGUUUUAAAGCUGAUAAGAUUUUACUAUGAGCAUUCUUAACUGAAUAUUUAACAACUGUGGUAGAUGUCAAUUACAU